rnacentral:rRNA from 1 species
AACGAACGCUGGCGGCAUGCCUAACACAUGCAAGUCGAACGAGACCUUCGGGUCUAGUGGCGCACGGGUGCGUAACGCGUGGGAAUCUGCCCCUCGGUUCGGAAUAACACAGAGAAAUUUGUGCUAAUACCGGAUGAUGACUUCGGUCCAAAGAUUUAUCGCCGAGGGAUGAGCCCGCGUAGGAUUAGCUUGUUGGUGGGGUAAUGGCCUACCAAGGCGACGAUCCUUAGCUGGUCUGAGAGGAUGAUCAGCCACACUGGGACCGAGACACGGCCCAGACUCCUACGGGAGGCAGCAGUGGGGAAUAUUGGACAAUGGGCGAAAGCCUGAUCCAGCAAUGCCGCGUGAGUGAUGAAGGCCUUAGGGUUGUAAAGCUCUUUUACCAGGGAUGAUAAUGACAGUACCUGGAGAAUAAGCUCCGGCUAACUCCGUG